GACGUAGGGCGCGAGCGUUGUCCGGAUUUAUUGGGCGUAAAAGGCUUGUAGGUGGCCACGCCAAGCCGGAUGUGAAAUCUCCCGGCUCAACUGGGAGGGGUCAUUCGAUACUGGCGGGCUCGAGGCCGGUAGGGGGAAGUGGAAUUCCCGGUGUAGUGGUGGAAUGCGUAGAUAUCGGGAGGAACACCAGUGGCGAAGGCGGCUUCCUGGACCGGUUCUGACACUGAGGAGCGAAAGCGUGGGGAGCGAUCCGG
rnacentral:rRNA from 1 species